rnacentral:misc_RNA from 1 species
CUCAAGUCAAAUUUCAGAUUUGAUGUGUAGAUCACAAAGCAUGUGGAAAGUAUAUGACUGAAUUUCUUGAUAAUUCGUCCACACAAUCGGACAAUCACCUGUCUGAAUGGUGAACGGCGGUACCAGCGGCGAGGGGGACGUCACACACGGUGCAGCAGAACUUCUGAUUGUUCUGGCUGGUUCCUGAAUCUUGGUGGUCGAUUGGCGGGAAUUGGUGCAACUCGAAAGGCAUGUGGUUCACUCUUGCUUUGGCCUUGACCUUGCCAUCAAUGAGUAUUUCUGCAGACUGUACAUCCUCCAAGUGUAGUGGUACUGUUAACACGUCAGCUUCCCUUCAAUUUAUUGACAACCCCGACUUACACCCGUUUCGUCAACCUGGUCGGUACUUGUCCAUGGAUUGCUGUGCAGAUGGAUUCACGGACAUGGAGUGGUACUUCAGCCACAACAAGAGCAGUCCGUGGCAGCCUUGGCCGUGGACGUCGUGCGAGUGGUGUGCAGGAGGUGUGGACCCCUACCAUGAGCUGUGUGGGAGCAACCAGACUCUGAGCAUCAUCAGUACCAACACCGAUACUGACACGGGAUGGUACUUGUGCAAUGCGUCCAACUCCGACACACAACAAUAUAUACAGAGGAGGUUCCGCGUUGUGGUUGCAGACUGUGAUGACCUUGACGGCAACAUCCAAGUGUUCCAGCAACCUGGCCUCACCCAGAAAGCAGUCAUAGGCAGCAACUUGACCUUGACCUGUGGUGGAAACUUCGGAUGUCCAACAGCUGAUAAGGAUCGCCAUGCCAACUGGUCCCGUGUGUCCCCAGAUGGCAAGGCCCAUCCCCUUCUCCCUGAUGCAGAUAAACAUUACAGGAUUGUCUUCAGUCAUGGAGUUGAAGAUACAACAGUUAGCUCUAUACUGACAGUGAAAGGAGUGAGAAUGUCAGACUUCAAUCAGACUUAUAUCUGUCAUCUAUCAACAAACACCAGUGUACUCACAUGGAACCUGACAAUACACAAGCAGGAUGUCCAGGAGAAGUUGAAGUGGAUGGAGAUAGUCGUCAGUGUGGGGGUUGUGGGGGGUUUUGCUCUUCUUCUGGGGAUAGCAGUGGUUGUCUACUUGUGUUACAAGCCUCAGGUUCACUACAGAUUUCACAGAAUGCGUGGCCACCUGCUUGUCCGAGGUCCCAAUGAAGAGGAUUUCCACGACACUGCUGUUAUACAUGGUACUUCUGACAAGAUCGCUGACUUUGCCAAGGAGGAGAUUAUACGUCCUCUGCAGAAUGAAGGCUACGAUGUCUUCACCCAUGAAAGUCUUCCAGAUUCCGCAACUGUGAUCGAGCCGGUUGAUGCGAUCGAACGGUGUAUGAGUGUGAUUCUGGUCCUGAAUGCGGCCGAGAUGAGUAGGGAAGAAAUGAAACUACUUGUGAGUGUUGCAAUGGACUGCCACGGCACCCGAAUGGUGGUCAUUGAGAUGAAGGACAAACGAUCCACUGGAUCCUUGAGGGAAGAGGUUCUUGACAACUACCUCAACGACCUGCCCAAAGUUCUAAAAACAGUCCCGUGGUACGGAUCACGGAACAUGAGCAGGCGACAGAAGGACAACUUGUUGUACACCAUCAAGUCCUCCCUCCCUGAACCACGGGGAAGUGUUGAAGAAGGGCGCAAGAGUCGUGUCAACCCAAGACAGACAAGCAGUUCAAGCACUGCACGACUACUACCAGGAGGUGAUCAGUCUGUUUCUUCAGUUUCUGGAGCUGAUAUUGAAAUGAGAAAGUCAAACUCAGAACAUCCAGAUUUUGCGGAUGGUGAAGGUGUUUCAACCAGAGUAGUAUGAUGGAGACGAGGGGGCGAUGGCGAUGUCGCCUUUUACGACAAGCAAAGUCGCCUUUCACGGCAAGGAUGAGUUGCUGAAGACCUGUUCUACCCCGGAAUCUUCACAAGUUACAUCUUACAUGACAAGGAGAGCAUGUCUCACUGAACUAAAUCCAUCCAACAUUUCCAUCGUACGCUUAUCACUUGAUCCCAUUGGCUGCAGCUGGUUGCCUGGAUACAUCAUGUUAGCUGGAAUAUGAUUGGAUGAUGGUCUAGAGCUCUG